AAGACUACACUUCUCGGUGUUAUUUCCGUAGUUCAUUACUUAGAGGAGUUUCCCCAAGUGUGUAGAGCACUGGAAACCACAGGUAGAGACACAAUGUUCUCUCCUAAUCUCGAAGCUGGUUCCUGCUGUUGUUUCGCUACAACAGCCAUUUGCGAUUGAUGAUUGUUUUUUAAUUCCUUUGGUGAGAGGAAGAGGAAGAGGACACAGUCUGAAUGAU
rfam:Callithrix jacchus chromosome 15, whole genome shotgun sequence